AGGUUAACGAGGCGAACCGGGGGAACUGAAACAUCUAAGUACCCCGAGGAAAAGAAAUCAACCGAGAUUCCCCCAGUAGCGGCGAGCGAACGGGGAGCAGCCCAGAGUCUGAAUCAGCUUGUGUGUUAGUGGAACGGUCUGGAAAGUCCGACGGUACAGGGUGAUAGUCCCGUACACCAAAAUGCACAGGCUGUGAACUCGAAGAGUAGGGCGGGACACGUGGUAUCCUGUCUGAAUAUGGGGGGACCAUCCUCCAAGGCUAAAUACUCCUGACUGACCGAUAGUGAACCAGUACCGUGAGGGAAAGGCGAAAAGAACCCCGGCGAGGGGAGUGAAAAAGAACCUGAAACCGUGUACGUACAAGCAGUGGGAGCACCUUCUGGUGUGACUGCGUACCUUUUGUAUAAUGGGUCAGCGACUUAUAUUCUGUAGCAAGGAUAACCGUAUAG
rnacentral:rRNA from 1 species